rnacentral:rRNA from 1 species
AUGUUCCGCACAUCCGCACACUUGCACUUUUGCAUCGGUAUCUCAAUGAGUUGUCAGAUCAUCGGAAUGUUGCCGUGGCACCAUUUCCGUUGUCGUUGCCAUGGCACCCCUUUCUUUCCGCCAUGGUUACAAAUGCUCCAUAUCAUAUUAAAUGUCAACAUUUUCAUAACAAUUGCAUAUGUCAUCCGCAUCAUGAUAACAAUAUUUACAAUGUUUAAAAUUGUUGUUUGCAUUAAAUUCAAAAUAUGCAUAUGGGGAUUUUCCGAAAUUGUUGUUUGUUAUUUCCGGCCUCAUUUAAAUUGCCUAAAAUGUGUAGUUUACUUAUCCCUCACUUCUUGCCAUGUUAACCAACAUUUCAUAUUGUUAAGUACAUAA